UACGUAGGGGGCAAGCGUUGUCCGGAAUCAUUGGGCAUAAAGAGCGUGUAGGCGGCCCGGUAAGUCCGCUGUGAAAGUCGAGGGCUCAACCCUCGAAUGCCGGCGGAUACUGUCGGGCUAGAGUCCGGAAGAGGCGAGUGGAAUUCCUGGUGUAGCGGUGAAAUGCGCAGAUAUCAGGAGGAACACCUACGGCGAAGGCAGCUCGCUGGGACGGUACUGACGCUGAGACGCGAAAGCGUGGGGAGCAAACAGG
rnacentral:rRNA from 1 species